rnacentral:misc_RNA from 1 species
UCUCCGUUGGUGAACCAGCGGAGGGAUCAUUACCGAGUUUACAACUCCCAAACCCCUGUGAGCAUACCAUUUGUUGCCUCGGCGGUGCCUGCUUCGGCAGCCCGCCAGAGGACCCAAACCCUUGAUUUUAUACAGUAUCUUCUGAGUAAAUGAUUAAAUAAAUCAAAACUUUCAACAACGGAUCUCUUGGUUCUG